rnacentral:rRNA from 1 species
CAGCAGCCGCCGCGGUAACACGGAGGGUGCAAGCGUUAUCCGGAUUUAUUGGGUUUAAAGGGUCCGUAGGCGGAUCUGUAAGUCAGUGGUGAAAUCUCACAGCUUAACUGUGAAACUGCCAUUGAUACUGCAGGUCUUGAGUAAAUUUGAAGUGGCUGGAAUAAGUAGUGUAGCGGUGAAAUGCAUAGAUAUUACUUAGAACACCAAUUGCGAAGGCAGGUCACUAAGAUUUAACUGACGCUGAUGGACGAAAGCGUGGGGAGCGAACAGGAUUAGAUACCCCAGUAGUCCCUGUCUCUUAUAC